CUAUCCCGAAAUUCCAGCUUCCGUGAUCACGAUUCACCCCGCAUCCAGCUUCUUCCACGAGUCCCAGAUCACAAUCUCCCGAGCAACUCGCUUCCCAGCGAUUUUCCAGUAAGUCCCGACUUCAUCCCGACGUCCACGCUCCUCCCUUCCGAUCCAUCUGUUGGAUUUCCCAGCGAUUUCAACUCUCCCGAGCAUCCCAGCAUGCCAUGUCCGCAUCCAUCCUAUUCUCGGAGGAUUCAUCCCAUCCGUCCGUCCUCUCCACGUGCCAUGAGGGAAUCCAUCGCUGGUUGAGGAGCUUUGGGGAUCUAUAUGAAGGGAUCUCUCGGCUGGAGGGGGUUCGGAGCUAUCAUCCCUCAUUCGGAAGAAACAGAGUAUCAGCCAUUAGAAAAAAAAAAACAGAGAAGGGAUACUCUGUUUCGGGCCAAAGAAAAGAAAAAAAUGGAAGGGGGACUAGUGUGUAAAAUGAGUGGCUGAUUUCUUAGGGAAGGGUGAUGGAGGAACCUUUGAUGUANNN
rnacentral:lncRNA from 1 species